rnacentral:rRNA from 1 species
UCCACUUGAUUGUGGCUUCAGGCCCAGAGAGGGUGUAAGGCCCGUGGAGGCGAGUCGUCCGGUGCCCGGCACGUCCUUAGAGUCGGGUUGUUUGGGAAUGCAGCCCAAAGCGGGUGGUAAACUCCAUCCAAGGCUAAAUACUAGCACGAGUCCGAUAGCGAAGAAGUACCGCGAGGGAAAGKUGAAAAGAACUUUGAAGAGAGAGUUCAAGAGUACGUGAAACCGCUGAGAGGCAAACUGGUGGAGCUGAAAUGGUCUUGAGGAAUUCAGCCCUUCCUACUAGAGUUGGCGUCGGUUGUCUGAGAUCUCACGACUCCGCUGGCGCUCAUCUUCGUGGAGGAUAGGUGCACUUUCUUCUUGAUCGGACCACGACCGGCGAUUUGUCUUGUCUGACGUAAGAUGGAAGGUAGCGUUGGCUUCGGCGAACGUAUUAUAGCCGCUUAUUCGGAUGAGCAAGGCGUUGGAAGCAUUUUUAGACGCUUGCCCUUUUGGGCUCGUACGUUGUCACUUUCAGGCGUGUCGCCGGCUUCACUGCCUUUGGCAGGGGUGUUGGAGACGUGUCGGUUAGGGGCGGCCUCUGCGAUUGGCGUCGACAGUCUGUGGUUAUGAAGUAGGCAGUCCACCUGACCCGUCUUGAAACACGGACCAAGGAGUCUAACAUGUGCGCGAGUCAUUGGGCUCUACGAAACCUAAAGGCGAAGUGAAAGUGAAGAUCCAUUUUGUUGGAUUGAGGUGGGAUCCUGAGUCACGUGCUCGGGCGCACUACCGGCCCGUUCGACAUGUUCUCAUGCGGGCGGAGCAAGAGCGUACACGUUGGGACCCGAAAGAUGGUGAACUAUGCUUGCGCAGGUCGAAGCCAGAGGAAACUCUGGUGGAGGACCGUAGCGAUUCUGACGUGCAAAUCGAUCGUCAAACGUGAGUAUAGGGGCGAAAGACUAAUCGAACCAUCUAGUAGCUGGUUCCCUCCGAAGUUUCCCUCAGGAUAGCUGGCACUCGGGAAACGAAACAGUUUUAUCCGGUAAAGCGAAUGAUUAGAGGUAUUGGGACGAAACUGCUCUCAACCUAUUCUCAAACUUUAAAUGGGUAAGAUGCCCGACUCGCUCAAU